UACAGAGGGGGCCAGCGUUAUUCGGAAUUAUUGGGCGUAAAGGGCGCGUAGGCGGCCAAGGCAGUCGGCUCGUGAAAGCCCGGGGCUCAACCCCGGAGGUGCGGCCGAUACUCUUUGGCUGGAGGCCGGAAGAGGAGGGUGGAAUACCCAGUGUAGAGGUGAAAUUCGUAGAGAUCGGGGGGAAUAUCAGUGGCGAAGGCGCCCUUCUGGACGGCAACUGACGCUGAGACGCGAAAGCGUGGGGAGCAAA
rnacentral:rRNA from 1 species